UCUGAAGGUGUUUAGUUCAAGAGUUUCCAUUUUCAUAUUAAGUUUCUAUCUCCAUACCUAGUGGGAUGAAGAUGGUGGUGUAUGGAUUUUCUCUCUUACAACAUUUUUUGUCCCUUAUCUAUACAUCUUUCCCCUAAAUAUUCAGUAAGAUUUGAAGCUGUUAAAAAAUCCUAAACUUCUCCAACUGUAGGAAAGAUAACUGGAAUAUUAUUUUAAGAGCAAAUACAUGUACAUUCCUAAUGUUGCUCGAAUGGGAAUUAUCAAGAAGAAGAAGAAGAAGAAGAAAAAAAAAAAAGGAAAACAAACCCAUGAGAGUUUGGGUUGCUAUUUCUGACCAAGUUUGAAUUGGGAAAUACCAGGAGUCCCAUAGGAAAUCUUAUCUCACCGGAAGACGAUCAUGGUCUCUUGGCCAAAGAAUGGGUGAGACACACCUCAAAUGACAGAAUCCCACAUCAAGCUUUCUCUCCUGGGGAGUUAACCCCCCUGGGGCUAACCCUUCACAAAGGCGGGAUGGAAGCCAGUGGAAAAGUACCCAGCUUUUCCUCCUUUACCUACUGUUCAGAGAUCCCAGAAGAAUCAAACCCUGGUGUCUGCAGCAGUGAGCCUGUGUGUUUCCUUAUCUCGGCUUUUCCUCCUUCUCUGGAUCAUCUCCCAAACAAGCAAAUCAUGCAUCUAAGUCCUUGUACUUAGGCUCUGCUUCUGGGGAGACGCAAAAUAAAACAGUUAAAAAA
rnacentral:lncRNA from 1 species